rnacentral:tRNA from 1 species
GGGCCGCUAGCUCAGUUGGUAGAGCAUCAGCCUUUUAAGCUGAGGGUCGUUGGUUCGAGCCCAACGCGGCUCACCA